CUUCUGGAGAAGAUGAUGGAUUAGGAGGACCAGAGCUCAUCUUGUCCCACAGAUACAGUUUGAUAAUACAUACAUAAGUGUAAAUAACCCAAAAAAUGACCUGAAGACUGACAGAACAGACUCCACAGAUGAUCUAUGAGCCAAGAGGAGUAAAACACAUCUAUUCUGAAGGGAAAUACAUCUGGACCAGUGAAAGUCUUACCAGGACAAGGCUGAUCAGACCAAAAAGAGUCCCCUAAUGGAGAGAAGUGCCCAUCACCAACAGAUCCUAGACUUGGAACUUGAUAAUACAACUGGAUGGGACUUUGGCAGUUCCUCCUUCAGGAAAAGGCAAGUCUAUAGAUACGUACAAUUGAUUGCUUUUGUGGGCUACCACUUGAUGGGAGUGAAGAUAUUUCAAGCUUUGGAAACAGACAUUCAGGAGGAGUUGAAAGAUUGCUUUUUCAGAGGCCAGAGAAGCUUUAAUGAGUACAUGCCGACAUAACUCCAGAAGAACUUGAAAUCUUUUUGCAGAACCUCUGCAACAAUGCCAGCUGGAUACUGAAGUCACACAGAUUUCGGUUCAACUGCUCUGCCAUGACUGGUUAAGUGACCCUAAGGAAUAACCAAGCACUCUGAGCCUGCAUCUCAACUGUAAAAUAAGGAUAAUAAUAGUCCUUAUUUCAUAGAAUGAUCUGAAGAUGAAAUGAGUUGCUACAAGCAAAAACAUUUCUGUACUGCCUGACCAUGCAGCUGGUACUCAAGAAAAGUUCAUCAUGGUUACUGUUAUUCUUUUUCCAGAGUUAUACCCAAAUUUUCUAAGCAUCAGAGAUUUUUUAAAAGACAUAAAAACUAAAUAUAUUUUUUCUUACUACUUUUUGAUAUCUUUAAUGUUUCAGAUGCUUUACUUAUUUUAAAGGGUUUAGAAGCACUUAUAAUGCUGAAGUGAAAUGUAGUACCAAACUCGGCCUCCAGAUGUCAGUAUGAACUCAACUGACUGAGGGUAGUUUCUAUCAACUAGGACGGUUGAGGUUGCUCUUUCUUAUGCAUCAAAUAAAAUGACAAAUGCACAAUAACUAUUCUUUGAUUUUAGAAAGGUAAUAGAAAGAUCAGCUUCUUUGACUUCAGGAGAUAUUGCCCCAUAAAAUUAGUAUUGAAAAAGUGGUUUCAGUGUCCACCUUUAACCACAAAUAAAAAUAUGAAUGGAGGGUUAUAUUUAACACUUGCUCUUGGGAAAAAAUAUUUAUAUGAUUGUGAUACAUAGCCUAUGAAUCUUCAAAAAUUAUUAAAGAGUACCAGAGGCCAUAAUGAACAUUUUCUACAUUCUGUGGCUAUACAGUAUGCAGAGCCAUUUCUACUAGAGAGGUAAAUCAGAUAAUUGUUUCAUGUCUAUGAAAACCAUGUUGAUCACUCUAUAAAGUAGCUCAGACUUUAUAGAGUUUCUUCCAGAAACAUCAGGAAGAAGUCUGUUUUUAGAGGGCACUAUUGUCCAUUUCAUUCAUUCAAUAAAUAUUUAUUGAAUACCUACCUACUAUGUUUCAAGCUAGUUUUACUUGACUUAUGCUUGAACAUCUUUGGUUCCUCUGCUAAUGAACUGUCAGUAUGGAAAGGGCAGAAGUAGUUAGGAAGCUUCUGUGUUACUCUAAGUUAGAGGCUAUGAUGGCUUGAAGGAGACUUGAGUGGAGCAUCUAAAGGUGGUAUUCAAGCAAGGAUGUCUGCAUGCUUCUGGUGCCUGGAAAGGCCUCCUAGAUUAAGGACAAAACUGUUUUAAAUUAAAGUCCACUCUGAAAAUCAACCCAUUAGCUAGCCAACCAAGCAACCAACCAACCAGAAAAAAAUGAGCCCCCAUAAUCCUUUUAUGCUAAUUGGUUGCUUUUUGGAAAAAGACUAGAUUGAAGUUACCAGAAAAGAAACCUUUUAUUUCAUCGUAGCGCAACAAGAAAAGUCAGAAAAAAGUGUCAGCAAUGUUGCUGGUUGAGCACAGUGGUUUUUAUGGGCAACAAAAAGUACAAGGCUUCUUCUGACCCUGGCAAAAAUAUUGGGACCAGGUUGCACUCAUAAAACAAAGAAUUUUCUAUUUUCUCUGGAAUCCUGUUUUUUUUUUUUCCUUUAAAAUACCAC